GGAUGUGAGGGUGAUCUGGCUGUGACAUCUGUCACCCCAUUAAUUGCCAGGGUUGAUUUAGCUGAUCUGGCUGGCUAAGCGGUGUUCCCUUUCUCCCUCAUGGUUUCGUGUGUGUACUUUCCAAAGCUGUCAUUCGGUCGAAGAGGACUACCGGCAUGGCUGAAGAGUGGUGGCAACACUGCCACAGGAGAGCGAGGUUAGAGGAUACAGAGGGAUCCCCUCAGGAUAGGGGUUGUAAAGAGGAGGCCACACCACAGGGCCUUCUGCACACAGGAGCUCUCUGGCCCAGAGAGCAGAGCCCU
rnacentral:sRNA from 1 species